rnacentral:rRNA from 1 species
AUUGAACGCUGGCGGCAGGCCUAACACAUGCAAGUCGAGCGAGAGGCGGACGGGUGAGUAAUGUAUGGGGACUGCCCGAUAGAGGGGGAUAACUACUGGAAACGGUGGCUAAUACCGCAUACUAUCGGAUAACCCAUAUGGGAUUAUCUAGUAGGUGGGGUAAAGGCUCACAUAGGCGACGAUCUCUAGCUGGUCUGCGAGGCUGAUCGGCCACACUGGGACUGAGACACGGCCCAGACUCCUACGGAGGCAGCAGUGGGGAAUAUUCCGCAAUGGGCGAAAGCCUGAUGGAGCCACGCCGCGUGUAUGAAGAAGGCCUUAGGGUUGUAAAGUACUUUCAGCGGGGAAGCGUUACCCACAGAAGAAGCCCCGGCUAACUCCGUGCCAGCAGCCGCGGUAAUAC